UACGUAGGGGGCAAGCGUUGUCCGGAAUCAUUGGGCGUAAAGAGCGUGUAGGCGGCCCGGUAAGUCCGCUGUGAAAGUCCAGGGCUCAACCCUGGGAUGCCGGUGGAUACUGUCGGGCUCGAGUCCGGAAGAGGAAUGUGGAAUUCCUGGUGUAGCGGUGAAAUGCGCAGAUAUCAGGAGGAACACCACUGGCGAAGGCAGCACUCUGGGACGUGACUGACGCUGAGACGCGAAAGCGUGGGGAGCAAACAGG
rnacentral:rRNA from 1 species